rnacentral:rRNA from 1 species
GACAAACGCUGGCGGCAUGCCUAACACAUGCAAGUCGAACGGACAGAACAGGGACGCUUUUCGCUGUGGAUCUGGACAGUUAGUUGCGGAUGGGUUAGUAACGCUUGGUCAACCUACCUUGUAACUUGGAAUAACCUCGACAAAUCGAAGCUAAUACCCCAUAAUAACCUUGCUUCUCAUGAAGUACGGAUGAAAUGCGGCCUUAGCGCUGUCGAUACCAGCUGGGUCCGCGUCUGAUUAGCUAGUUGGUGAGGUAAAGGCUCACCAAGGCGACGAUCAGUAGCCGGCCUGAGAGGGUGAACGGCCACAUUGGAACUGAGACACGGCCCAGACUCCUACGGGAGGCAGCAGUGGGGAAUCUUCCGCAAUGGGCGAAAGCCUGACGGAGCAAUGCCGCGUGAGUGAAGAAGGCCUUCGGGUUGUAAAACUCUGUUAUUAGCGAAGAGAGAGUGUUGAAGUAACUGAGAAUACUAGGACGGUAGAUGAGGAGGAAGCCCCGGCUAACUAUGUG